CUUUCCUCUCCCCUUUCUCUUUUUGCAUUUGCGAGUUGCAUCGAAGCGACCCGCUCCAUUUCGUAAUUCCCGUUUCCAUCGACGUAAUGCACGUCGUAAUUCCACCACCAAGAGAAAGCAAAUGAUGGAAAAGUCCAACACAAACACCGACUGGAGGAGUCAAACUCACGACAACCAGCAUGAACAAACAAACCACACCGAAAAUACAGACAAUUCGAUGUCAAAGGGCCAGGCUGAUGGCUGAGUUGCGACCGACGUAGAGGAAAUCAACCGAAUAGCAAAAGAGGUAGAAAAGAAAGGAGAGAUGAAAAACAAACGCAAUAUUAUCAAACAAUCACAAUUCAUCAUGUAAACAAUAAGAAGAAAAAAAGAAAAGAUGGCAAAAAAGAAAAGAAAAGAUGGUUUCAACAUUUCACUUUUCUAUUUACUAUAAACUUCAAUUCAUUCUUACAUUCCAACAUUUAUUCAUUCCUUCUUUUCUUCAUUCAUACCUUUUCUCCAUUCUCUCACUCUCACUCUCACUGCCCUUCUCUUCUCUCUCUCUACUCCACAGCGUCAUCCUUUCCUCAUCCUUUUCCCUUUCCAUCCUUCAACUUAAUUACUGGUAGGGUCGGUGACGUUUGUUUCAAUUUGGCUCGUGGAUGGCGACGUAUUUGGGCAUUGGAAUGGCAUGCCUAUUGCUACGCUCACACUCACCAUGCCAUUCUGCAAUGAAGAACGUGACGUAGAUUGGAAAAAAAGUAUUGAAUCGCUCGAGUUGGGCGUGAUGUAAGGCAUUGACUCAUUUACUAUAUAUUGAUGGGUUCGCUCGUCCUUCUCUUCUCACAUAUAACAAUUACGAAAGAAAAAAG